UGGGGAAUAUUGGACAAUGGGGGGAACCCUGAUCCAGCCAUGCCGCGGGGGUGAAGAAGGCCUUAUGGUUGUAAAGCACUUUAAGCGAGGAGGAGGGUACUGGUAUUAAUACUACCAGGUACUGGACGUUACUCGCAGAAUAAGCACCGGCUAACUCUGGGCCAGCAGCCGCGGUAAUACAGAGGGUGCGAGCGUUAAUCGGAUUUACUGGGCGUAAAGCGUGCGUAGGCGGCUAAUUGAGUCGGAUGUGAAAUCCCCGAGCUUAACUUGGGAAUUGCAUUCGAUACUGGUUAGCUAGAGUGUGGGAGAGGAUGGUAGAAUUCCAGGUGUAGCGGUGAAAUGCGUAGAGAUCUGGAGGAAUACCGAUGGCGAAGGCAGCCAUCUGGCCUAACACUGACGCUGAGGUACGAAAGCAUGGGGAGCAAACAGG
rnacentral:rRNA from 1 species